rfam:Plasmodium fragile strain nilgiri unplaced genomic scaffold supercont1.6, whole genome shotgun sequence.
AACCUGGUUGAUCUUGCCAGUAGUCAUAUGCUUGUCUCAAAGAUUAAGCCAUGCAAGUGAAAGUAUAUGCAUAUUUUAUAUGUAGAAACUGCGAACGGCUCAUUAAAACAGUUAUAAUCUACUUGACAUUUUCUAUAUAAGGAUAACUACGGAAAAGCUGUAGCUAAUACUUGCUUUAGCACUCUUGAUUUAUUUCUUGAGUGUGUACUUGUUAAGCCUUAUAAGAAAGAAGUUAUUAACUUAAGGAAUUAUAACAAAGAAGUAACACGUAAUGGAUUCACUCCAUUUUUUAGUGUGUAUCAAUCGAGUUUCUGACCUAUCAGCUUUUGAUGUUAGGGUAUUGGCCUAACAUGGCUAUGACGGGUAACGGGGAAUUAGAGUUCGAUUCCGGAGAGGGAGCCUGAGAAAUAGCUACCACAUCUAAGGAAGGCAGCAGGCGCGUAAAUUACCCAAUUCUAAAGAAGAGAGGUAGUGACAAGAAAUAACAAUACAAGACCAAAACUGGUUUUGUAAUUGGAAUGAUGGGAAUUUAAAUCCUUCCCAGAAUACAAUUGGAGGGCAAGUCUGGUGCCAGCAGCCGCGGUAAUUCCAGCUCCAAUAGCGUAUAUUAAAAUUGUUGCAGUUAAAACGCUCGUAGUUGAAUUUCAAAGAACCGAUAUUUUAAUAAUGCUGUUUAGCUAGGAGCCACAAAAAUUGAUACUUUAAUCGUAUCCAUUUUGUGCGCAUUUCUACCUUAUCAAGUGUUUUUUUAAUUAAAGUGUUUCUUUUUAAAAUCUUCUUUAGCUAAUAUAAAUCAUAUGGAAGAUUUUGUUACUUUGAGUAAAUUAAAGUGUUCAAAGCAGACAGAGAUAUAGCAUAAAAUGCGUUUGAAUACUACAGCAUGGAAUAACAAAAUUGAACAAGUCAAAACUAUGUUUCUUUUUUUUUAUUUUUGGCUUAGUUACGAUUAAUAGGAGUAGUUUGGGGACAUUUGUAUUCAGAUGUCAGAGGUGAAAUUCUAAGAUUUUCUGGAGACAAACAACUGCGAAGGCAUUUGUCUAAAAUACUUCCAUUAAUCAAGAACGAAAGUUAAGGGAGUGAAGACGAUCAGAUACCGUCGUAAUCUUAACCAUAAACUAUACCGACUAGGUUUUGGAUGAAAGUAAAACAAAUAAGGAUAGUCUCUUCGGGGAUAGUCCUUAGAUUUCUUCCUUCAGUACCCUAUGAGAAAUCAAAGUCUUUGGGUUCUGGGGCGAGUAUUCGCGCAAGCGAGAAAGUUAAAAGAAUUGACGGAAGGGCACCACCAGGCGUGGAGCUUGCGGCUUAAUUUGACUCAACACGGGAAAACUCACUAGUUUAAGACAAGAGUAGGAUUGACAGAUUAAUAGCUCUUUCUUGAUUUCUUGGAUGGUGAUGCAUGGCCGUUUUUAGUUCGUGAAUAUGAUUUGUCUGGUUAAUUCCGAUAACGAACGAGAUCUUAACCUGCUAAUUAGCGGUAAAUACAACAUAUUUUUAUGUUGAAUUGGAUUCGGACGAAUUUUGCUUAUAUUUGAAGUUCAUUAUAAUGAAGGAUAGUGAAAUACUUUAGUUCGCAUCAGUGUUUUUUCAUCGAAUCGUUGAUGCUUCUUGUAUAUCUCAUCCUCUCUGUUCCCUGUGCUUCAUUAUCAAGCUUUUCAUACCGUUUCCUUUUUUUUAUGUAGAAAUGUAUUUGCUUUAUGUAAAGCUUCUUAGAGGAACGAUGUGUGUCUAACACAAGGAAGUUUAAGGCAACAACAGGUCUGUGAUGUCCUUAGAUGAACUAGGCUGCACGCGUGCUACAAUGAUAUGUACAACGAGUUACUUAGAAAUAUGCAUAUGUUAUUUGUGCUUAAUUCAGCCUUUUAUCAUUAUGACAUACUUUUCCUCCACUGAAAAGUGUAGGUAAUCUUUAUUAGUACAUAUCGUGAUGGGGAUAGAUUAUUGCAAUUAUUAAUCUUGAACGAGGAAUGCCUAGUAAGCAUGAUUCAUCAGAUUGUGCUGACUACGUCCCUGCCCUUUGUACACACCGCCCGUCGCUCCUACCGAUUGAAAGAUAUGAUGAAUUGUUUGGACAAGAAGAACGGGGAUUAUAUGUUCGUUUUUCUGGAAAAACCGUAAAUCCUAUCUUUUAAAGGAAGGAGAAGUCGUAACAAGGUUUCCGUAGGUGAACCUGCGGAAGGAUCAUUA